UCUUGUUUCGCAAUUAUGAAACAAUAAAACUUAAUAAUUCUAACAGUAAUAAUUAAUAACAUUCUUAGGAAUAAACUGUGUAGUAAAAAUCAAUAUUAUGUGAAAUCAAUAAUAAAUGAUAAACCGAUUAAUGUGCUGUGGAAUUACGUGCCUGAGCGCGCCAAUACUACGCGACAUUACUGGUUAUCUUUGAUUGGUUAUAAUUCAAAAACUAUUGCAGUUUCGACAUUUUUGUAUUAAGAUUUUUUGCUUCACUUUACCUCCAGAAUACACCGUUAAAAUAUUGCUCGGUGAUUGCAAAACACCUUGUAUAUACAGUAUUUGUAUUAUAAUAAUACAAAAAAUAAGGAAAAAAUAACCUUUUCUUAAACAAGUGUUUAUUUUAUUCCUUUUUUUUGUUACUAAAGUUACAUACUAUACAUUUUUUGUAUUUUGUAUUUUUUGUUAUAGAUUUCUUUUUUUGGAAACAAGAAACUACUUCUGCAUUAGAACAUUUUUUAAUAAGAAGCUGCUUUUUGCCUGGUACAGAAAAAAAGUAAUGACAUUUUUGUGUCACUGGCACUGCUUUAACUUCUAAGAACUUGUCUGAAAGAGUUUUUUAUAGAUUUAUGUCCUCAACCACCACAAUAGUUUUUUGUAAAUAUUCUUUUUGGAAUGAUUUUUUCACACAAGAUUGAUAUUGUUUUAAUUGACAUUGUUUUUGAUUAUAAUGGCAGAUCCAUGAGUCGUGUCAUCUGGAUGUAUCGUGUCAUAUAUAUUGUAUUUGUGCAUACAAAAGUAUUUUCUAUUUGUGAAACGCAUUUUAGAGAUAAGCAUAACGUCUAUAUUGUAGUUUAAUAAAAAAUAUUUUAACUUGCGUGUGUUUUGACAGCUCAUUGGUGUUUCAAAUUCCUAUUAUAAUAUUUUAUUAACUAGAGCAGUUAGUAUGUUCAACAUGGCGCUUAUUUUGUCCUUGAGUUCUAUCAUCAUGGCCUUGAAUUCGAGCAUAUCCCCAUAUCCCCCAUUGACUUUCGAACUUGUAUUCCUUACCUCUCUAGUCGUUUUACUUCUAACUGGAGUGCUUGGAGCGAUUUGUUCUUGUAUAACCUAUGUUCCCAUGUAUGCAUAUGUUCGCCUUUGUUGUACUUGUGAGAUUGAUUUUGAGAAUGUAAUCUGCAGGUUAUUCUAUUCCAUUUCAGCAUCUUGCGUUCGUGCAGCAGUUCUUUUUUACGUAGAAUUGGAUGUUUGCAUACCUGUAGAUUUUUAUAAAUCAUACAGCCUUUGUAAUUAACAGGGUGAUUACUCUUGCACAACACACAUUUGAUAUUAUUUGAUCUUAGGUGGGAAGUCUACAUAUAGUGGAAUGAUGAACUGCGUUUAACACAUCUUGUUUUUCAGCGGCAAAAACUUUUAGUGUGGCCAUAGUGCUGACAAUUAGCACAUUGGGGUAUUUCUCGUCUUUGAUGUGGAGAUUUGAACGUAACUUUACACUAUAGCAAAAUUUUAAUAUAUUUGUUUGUUUGGUCAGGUUUAAGUUUAAAGACAUUAGUAGAGGUUCUUUGGUAGUUCUUUGCUUAAUGUUCCAGAUGUUGACUAUAUAAGGUUUGUUUGCGUCGCAUGCUCUAAGAGCACUUGAAUCACUUGGAUCACUUUUAUCACCAAUCACAGCAUUAGAACUAAUGUCUGUAUUUGGUUAUUUUGUUACUUAAUUCGCGUACGUCACACAGUGGACCAAAAUCCCGAAAAAAUAACGAAAAUAUGAAAGUGUUUUUUGAUUUGCUUGAAAUUUGAUAUCCUAGGGUUUUUGAGGUCGUUGAUUACGAAUCUGAAAUCAAAAUAGCAAAAAACAAAAAUUCAAUUUAGAUAAAUGUAUUUUAAAUAUGUUUAAUGUAGUUGAAAUUUGAUAUUCUGGAAUUUUUGAAGUUGCUAAUUAUGAAUUUAAACUUCAAGUUGCAAAAAAAUACAAUGGCAAAUUCAGUAUAGCGGAAACAUGUACUUUAAAUAUGUUUAAUGUAAUCGAAAUUUGAUACCUGAGGUUUUUAAAGUCCAAAAUCUUUUUUUCUUUAUAGUACUGUAUCAUUGUAUAAUAACAAAAGAUCCACAAACAGAACGACUAUCUGAAUGCUGCGGCAUGAUCUGCUUAUUCUAUGUCGCUAGCGAUUGAUACUGAAACUUACAGCACAGAGCGCUCGUACAAAAAAAUUGUCGCAAAACCAGAAGAGCAGAUAUAAGCAGCUAAAUUUUUUUUUAUUCGAAAGAGAGAAAUAUAAACUAAAAGAUGUUUCAGUAACAUCUCGGAAUGAGGUGGAAUAUAUAACUAUUUGGGUACUUAAAAAUUUAAUUUUUUUAAAAUAUAUAAUUUCUUACUGAUUUAAAUUUAACUUAAAAUCUAUUAUAGUGCUUUCCAAUAAAGGCGAUAAAUUAAAUUGAAAGAAAUUUAAUUUUUAAUUAAUUUUUUUUUUAAUGGAUUGAAAUGACUUUAUUAUGAUGUAAAUUUUAUGCCAUUUAUUUUUUAAACAAAAUAUUCAAAUGGCCAUUGCGGUUCUUUUUGCACUGGGUGAUCCGAUCAGGCCAACUUUUGAUGACUCUGUGCAGCAUAUCGGGUGGUAUGGCGGCAAUGGUUGCACAAAUUUUUGUUUCAAGUUCAUCAAGAGUUUUGAGCUUGAUUGUGUAAACCUGUGAUUUAACAUAGCCUCACAGAAAAAAGCGAUGUUAAAUUACACGAUCUUAGUGGCCAGUUGUUAGGGCCAUUUUUUGAAAUGAGUAACUCACCGAACUUUUCACACAAUAAAUUUAUUGUAAGGCCCGUUGUGUCACAAGGAGCACCGUCUUAUUGGAAAAUAAUGUCGUCUUCAUCAAUUUUAUUAACUUUUGGGAAGAAAAACUCGGUAAGCAUACCACGAUAGAGCUCACUAUUCAUAUAACGGAUCAGCCCUCUUUAUUUUUAAAGAAGUACGAACCAAGAUGCCAUUAUACCAUAAUCCGCACUAGUGAUUUUUUGAGGAUGUAAUGGUGUCUCGUGAAUCACUUGAGGGUUUGACGCGCACCAGUAUCGACAAUUUUGUUUGUUGACACUACGUACAAAACGCUCUUUGAGUAGCAACAAAACUUCUCGAAUUUUGAUAGAAAAUUUGGAUAAUUUUCAAAUGUUGUGGCAAUGUGAACUUAUUCAUGAUGAAAUGGCAAAUCUACUGAUGACAACAAACGUUAGAUGUCAAAGAUUGCAUUUCAAAUAUGGCCGCAGUACACUUUCGAAAUCCUAUCAUCUCUAUUGGAAAGCACUGUAUAUAUAACACAUAUAAAAAGAUUACAUUAUUAUCGUCUUUUGUUAUACUUACCUCCAGGAAUAAAAUCCAUUUUGCAGAAUUGAAUUUGCGCAUUUCGUUUUCGAAAUAAGCAUACAAGACUAGAUAUAAAAUAUUUGUUAUUCUUACUGUUACGUCUGUUCCGUAUAAAGGGCAACUUUGAACUGAAAUGAAAAUUUAAGUAUAGAUGAAAUAAUUUUAGGGUUGGCAACAUUUAAUAGGGAAUUUAGUUCUUUUUUAGAAAAUGUAAUAAUAUUCUCGAAAAUUUGAAAUUCUUUUUUUGACUUUUGACCAGCUUUUCGGGAUUUUGGCCCACUGGGCGUCAAUAAAAAAUUGCAUAUUUUUUAAUACAACGUAUUUGGUUUAGGCUUUUAUACCUGUAGGACAUUUGUACAGUGCCCAGUCAGUAAGUAUCAAUUUUUGCUUGUUUAUCUUUUUGUAACGCCUGCUCAGGACUAUAUCGUUUUCUCUUUUUUGUUAUAUUUAUACAGUUUUACAGUUCCAAGGAGAUAUUUGUUUUGCACUCAUGUACUUGAAAAAGACCGUUUAAGCCUGCAUUGUUAUCCUCCUGUAGCUAUGCAUCCUUCAGCACGGAACUGACACUUUGGGUUAGGAGUUGGUUUUCUAUAGAGAUUUUCCUUUCCUUAGUUGGUUUGCUCUCGUUUUUAGGCGACAGAGACUCGCCUUUUGCCCUUCAUCUAUCUGCUAGGACCGAAGUCACAUCCAGGGUUGGCAACAAGGACACUAGAUAAGAAGACUUGGUGACUAUUGACGUUGAUAUGCAAUGCACUGUUUCACAGCUUUUUAUAAAUGCACUUCGCGCACCAUUGUGGCCUAAUCACCUAUUUGAAUCCCUCAUUGAAUAAUAUAGUAUGUACUUGAAUAAUAAUCUUUGAAUAAUAUGUACUGAAAUAAUGAACUCUGAAUAAUAUUAGUCUUCGAGAACGUUAAAACUAUUUGUGAUAAAAUAAUUUACGUACUUACCAUGCAAAAAGCAGCUUUUUAUUAACAACAUUUUCUAAUGCAGAAAACAGUUUCUUUGUGUUUCCAAAGAAUAAAUCUAUAAUAAAAUAAAAAAUAAAAAAUACAAAGAUUAUAGGAUGUAACUUUAGCAAUAAAAAAGUAAUAAAAUAAAUACUCGUUUAAAAACUAAGACUAUUUUUUCAUUAUCUUUUGUAUUUAAGAUCAAGACGACAAACAUAACAACCGUUAACAGGAAACGAUUUUUUCCUGUUGCGCACAUUAAUCGCCUCACGCGAAUCGAUAUUAGUCAUUUCUUCAGGGCGAGCGCACAACAUUGCCUCCCUUUUUCAAAGUUGUCGUCCCGUCAACUAAUUCAGAGGGCCGAAAGAUUCCUCACGACUUGUUGUUUGCUCAUAUUCUUCAUCUUGAGUCUUGUGCGCUUGUUUCUUUAUUCUUCGGACAAAGAAGGGGAAUAAACUUUCAGGAACCCAACGCUUUCCAGGCUUCCCAUGUCCCUGCCUCGGCAUUUGCCCUUAGGCCCACGGCAAAACCCCGAAUCAAAAACCGGGGCAAGACGGUCUUCUUAAAAAGAAAUAUGGCAAUGCUUCACACGAAGAAAGUCACCUCGCACGAAUCUUAAAAUUGAAAUUAAAACAGAAUCCGACGAGUAUCUCACUUAAAAUAAAAUAAACCUGUAAAGGAAAAACUUUUUUACUCACGAAUUCUCGUCUCCUAUAUCUUAAACAAAAUUUAAGACAAAAUUCUCGCAAAAAGACCUAACGACUCUCCGCUUCACCCUGAGCUCCUGACUCAGACCACCGAGCGCCGCCCUCUGCGAUCCAGAAGAAAAAGAAUCAAAGCUCACUCUCAGCUCCUGACUGAAAAACAAUUUCUAGAAUUCAUCUUCCAAGGUGAGGAUUUCCAGGCAAAAUCGACGACCUUUACCCCGGGCCACUACCACGAGUUACCGAGCGUUGCCAGCGUCACUCCCAAACCAACAACUUUCUAGAAGAGAAAGAAAUCUUAAACUCUCUUCUUCUCCCCCAGCUUUUGCCACGGGUAACCGAGUGUCGUCUUCCGCAAAUCAGAUCAAAAUGAUGACCUCCUGCCCUAUCCUGGGCUCCUGCCACAGGUUACCGAGCGCCGUCCAAGUUCCAAACCAACGUCUUUCUGCAAGAAAGGAACCGGCUCCCUCCCUCCUGGGACGAAAUCUCAAUCCCGAAAAGAAGAAAUUCUAAGCUAAAACUAUAACUCUCUCUCUCUCUCUCUCUC